AUGCGAAUGUAACUCCGAGCUAUCUCACCUAAAUCUACGACAAGGUGUUUUAGCCGUGAAUUAGGCAAUGGUGUCAAAUUCGCCAGGGUUGUAAGAGAAAUCGAGCUGCCUCCCGCAAGUACCACAAUUUUUGUGGCACUUCACUUUGGAAAGGUGUUAAACAAUAUGUUAG
rnacentral:ncRNA from 2 species